CAGCCCUCUGGAGCAAGGCCUGCCUCGUUAAUUAUGUAACAGAGGUGGAAUUUUGUCCACAGAUUUUUAUGAUAAGAAAUUACAAACUUUCACGUUAUUUUCGUCUAAACAAAUUUUAUGAGUUAAGUUUUUUUUUUCUCUACAGUAUGGAUAUAGAUUCUAACAUUUCUUUGUUCCAACUAUAUGCUGCAUACAGGAUGACGAAGAUGAUGAUGUCAAUGAUGCUCGAGAUGCCGGAAUGGCUGCAAAGAGUAACAAAUAUGCAAUUUCAAAUGUGUUACAUUUAGUAGUACUUCCUUCAAUGCUAUCUUAUAUUUGGAGCUUCUUUAAAAAUUUUCAUUGGUCACAUGCUCGUAUGAAAAAUUUCUGAUUAAUAAUAUAUAAAAUCAUGAAAACAUAGGCCCAGUUGUUUAAUAUGUUCUUGCUUUCCUUUUCCCAAAUGGUAUUAUAUAUAUAUUUUUUGGUUGCCUCUGCUAUUUGCAAAUCUUUUACCUCUUCAGAUAUCGCAGAAUCAUCAAGUCGGUGUAAUGGAAAUGUUAAAAGUAAUAGCUCCUUGAGCUGAAGGGAGUCUUUAGCUGCAUUGCUCCAAUGCCUGAGAAAGUGAACAAACUUUGAAACCAGUGAACAGGUACUGCUUUGCUUUUAAAUUCCUGAAAUUAUGCUGCUUACUGACAAUUUCAUAUCUCAUUCUCCACUUUCAUCAACUCCUCUGACAUAUGUUUAUUGCACAGAAAAGACAAAUAGGUUCAGCUAAGUUCAGCGGAAUUCUAUUAGGGAUUUGCACAGAAAAGACAAAUAGGUUCAGCUAAGUUCAGUGGAAUUCUAUUAGGGAUUGCCUUGUUAAUUAAUUUAUUUUUUUUUAUUGUUUUUCCAAAUAAUAAGUGGUUGCCAAUUGCGUUAAUUUGUUCCUAUGCAUCAGCCAAAUGCUAGAAAAUUAGGAGGCCAAACUGAAGCCUAUUGCUUUCUCAAUUGCAACCCUUUUAUUUAUUUAUUUUUUUAAAAAUUGUGAUCGUCUCAUAAUUUAAAUAAAAUCAAUAAUAUACCCACAAAGAAUAUUGUAUGACACCACAGACAAUAUUCAC
rnacentral:lncRNA from 1 species